GCCUUCGUGGUCUAGUGGUUAUGACGCUCGCCUUGGCAGCGAGAGGUCGCAAAUUCGAAUCCUGUCGGAGGCA